UACGGAGGGUGCGAGCGUUGUUCGGAAUUACUGGGCGUAAAGGGCUCGUAGGUGGCCAACUAAGUCAGACGUGAAAUCCCUCGGCUUAACCGGGGAACUGCGUCUGAUACUGGAUGGCUUGAGAUUGGGAGAGGGAUGCGGAAUUCCAGGUGUAGCGGUGAAAUGCGUAGAUAUCUGGAGGAACACCGGUGGCGAAGGCGGCAUCCUGGACCAACACUGACACUGAGGAGCGAAAGCGUGGGGAGCAAACAGG
rnacentral:rRNA from 1 species